GCAGCAUAUACACUUUAAAAAAAAAAAAUGGAAUGAUUCAAAGAAAAUCUGCAUGGCCCCUGCACAAGUAUGACAUGCAAAUUUGAGAAAAUAGUUUGACAGUA